CAGUAGCCGCGGGAAUACAGAGGGUGCGAGCGUUAAUCGGAUUUACUGGGCGUAAAGCGUGCGUAGGCGGCUUCUUAAGUCGGAUGUGAAAUCCCUGAGCUUAACUUAGGAAUUGCAUUCGAUACUGGGAAGCUAGAGUAUGGGAGAGGAUGGUAGAAUUCCAGGUGUAGCGGUGAAAUGCGUAGAGAUCUGGAGGAAUACCGAUGGCGUAGGCAGCCAUCUGGCCUAAUACUGACGCUGAGGUACGAAAGCAUGGGGAGCAAACAGGAUUAGAUACCCCGGUAGUCCCUGUCUCUUAUAC
rnacentral:rRNA from 1 species